UUGGAGGGCAAGUCUGGUGCCAGCAGCCGCGGUAAUUCCAGCUCCAAUAGCGUAUAUUAAAGUUGUUGCAGUUAAAAAGCUCGUAGUUGAAUUUCGGGAUUGGCGUGUCGGUCGUGCCUUACUGGGUAUGAACUGGCGUCGUCGAUUUCUCACCUUCUGGAGAAUCACGAUGCCCUUAAUUGGGUGUCGUGUGGAACCAGGACCUUUACCUUGAAAAAAUUAGAGUGUUUAAAGCAGGCAUUUUUGCUCGAAUACAUUAGCAUGGAAUAAUAAAAUAGGACGGUUUGGUUCUAUUUUGUUGGUUUCUAGGAUCACCGUAAUGAUUAAUAGGGAUAGUUGGGGGCAUUAGUAUUCAAUUGUCAGAGGUGAAAUUCUUGGAUUUAUUGAAGACUAACUACUGCGAAAGCAUUUGCCAAGGAUGUUUUCAUUAAUCAAGAACGAAAGUUAGGGGAUCGAAGACGAUCAGAUACCGUCGUAGUCUUAACCAUAAACUAUGCCGACUAGGAAUCAGACGAUGUUAAUUUUUUUAAUGACUCGUUUGGCACCUUACGGGAAAC
rnacentral:rRNA from 1 species